rnacentral:rRNA from 1 species
CCUACUGGAGACAUCAUUGAGGCAUCUUGGUCAAUGGACGCAAGUCUGAACCAGCCAUGCCGCGUGCAGUCCUCCUUCUCUCUUCUUUUUCCCCUUCUUUUUUCCUCUUUUCCACUCCUCUCCUCUUAUCUGUCUGAAAGUAUCGUACGAAUAAUUAUCUUCUAACUCCUUGCCAGCCUCCUCUGUAAUACUUCUGAUUCACGCGUUAUCCGGAGUUAUUGUGUUUAAAGGGUGCGUAGGCGGUCGGAUAAGUUAGAGGUGAAAUCCCGAGGAUCAACUUAGGAAUUGCCUUGGAUAAUGUUCGGCUAGAGAGUAGUUGCGGUAGGCGGAAUGUAUGGUGUAGCGGUGAAAUGCUUAGAGAUAAUAAAGAACACAGAUUGAGAAGGCAGAUUAAAAAGAUACUUAUGAAGUUGAGGAAAGAAAGAGGGGGGAGAAAACAGGAGGAGAGAAAAAGGGAGUC